AAGUCGUAACAAGGUUUCCGUAGGUGAACCUGCGGAAGGAUCAUUACAGAAUACCAAUUAUACUCUGUAUAUCUACACACACCUGUGCACCCGAGGCGGAUCCCCCUGUCUGUGGGGAACUGCUCCUCUUUCACACACCACGUUGAUUGUCCUAGAAUGUCUUUACUUUGCGUCUAACGCGAAAUCUUAACAACUUUCAGCAACGGAUCUCUUGGCUCUCGCAUCGAUGAAGAACGCAGCGAAAUGCGAUAAGUAAUGUGAAUUGCGGAAUUCAGUGAAUCAUCGAAUCUUUGAACGCAACUUGCGCUCCUUGGUCCAAUCAAGGAGUAUGCCUGUUUGAGUGCCGUGUAUCUCUCAACCCCACAAGGUUGGACUUGAGGCGUGCGGUCGGACCUGAGGUCCAUCGCUCCCUUUAAAUGCAUGACCAGCUUUUGAGACGUGAUAGUUCACCGUCAGAGAAGCACAGGUCUCGAGCUUUCCCCGUCCAGGNAUCGCCCAACACACAAUUAAUUUUUUUUUUGUUUGACUGGCCUCAAAUCAGGUAGGAUUACCCGCUGAACUUAAGCAUAUCAAUAAGCGGAGGAAAAGAAACUAACAAGGAUUCCCCUAGUAACGGCGAGUGAAGCGGGAAGAGCUCAAAUUUGUAAUCUGGCGGUCUUUGGCCGUCCGAGUUGUAGUCUGGAGAAGUGCUUUCAGUGCUGGACCGUGUACAAGUCUCUUGGAAUAGAGCGUCAUAGAGGGUGAGAAUCCCGUCUCUGACACGGACCCCCAGUGCUAUGUGAUGCGCUCUCGAAGAGUCGAGUUGUUUGGGAAUGCAGCUCAAAACGGGUGGUAAACUCCAUCUAAAGCUAAAUAUUGGCGAGAGACCGAUAGCGAACAAGUACCGUGAGGGAAAGAUGAAAAGCACUUUGGAAAGAGAGUUAAACAGUACGUGAAAUUGCUGAAAGGGAAACACUUGAAGUCAGUCGCGUCUGCCAGGACUCAGUUGGGCUUCUGCCUGACGUACUUCCUGGUGGGACGGGCCAGCAUCGAUUUGGGUUGUCAGAGAAAGGCGAGAGGAAGGUGGCAUCCUUCGGGGUGUGUUAUAGCCUCUUGUCGUACAUGGCGGCUCGGAUCGAGGAACUUUGCAGCACGCCGUCCUCGGACGGUCGGGGUUCGCCCACGCUCGUGCUUAGGAUGCUGGCGUAAUGGCUUUAAAUGACC
rnacentral:rRNA from 1 species